UACGGGGGGAGCAAGCGUUGUUCGGAUUUACUGGGCGUAAAGGGCGGGUAGGCGGCCACUGCAAGUCGGUUGUGAAAUCUCCGGGCUUAACCCGGAAAGGUCAAUCGAUACUGCAGGGCUAGAGUGCAGAAGGGGCAACUGGAAUUCUCGGUGUAGCGGUGAAAUGCGUAGAUAUCGAGAGGAACACCUGCGGCGAAGGCGGGUUGCUGGGCUGACACUGACGCUGAACUGCGAAAGCUAGGGGAGCGAAUGGG
rnacentral:rRNA from 1 species